UGGGAGCCCCAUGAAUGAGGGAGAAGAGGGAUAAUUUAGUGGCCUUCCUACUUUAGUGGUUUAAGUAGGGACCUUGCUGAAGACGUUUUUUUUCUUCUAG